rnacentral:rRNA from 1 species
UACAGAGGAUGCAAGCGUUAUCCGGAAUGAUUGGGCGUAAAGCGUCUGUAGGUGGCUUUUUAAGUCCGUCGUCAAAUCCCAGGGCUCAACUCUGGACAGGCGGUGGAAACUACCAAGCUGGAGUACGGUAGGGGCAGAGGGAAUUUCCGGUGGAGCGGUGAAAUGCGUAGAGAUCAGGAAGAACGCCGGUGGCGAAAGCGCUCUGCUGGGCCUAAACUGACACUGAGGGACGAAAGCUAGGGGAGCGAAUGGG